rnacentral:rRNA from 1 species
AACAAGGUUUCCGUAGGUGAACCUGCGGAAGGAUCAUUACAGAGUUCAUGCCCGAAAGGGUAGACCUCCCACCCUUGUGUAUUAUUACUUUGUUGCUUUGGCGAGCUGCUCUUCGGGGCCUUGUAUGCUCGCCAGAGAAUAUCAAAACUCUUUUUAUUAAUGUCGUCUGAGUACUAUAUAAUAGUUAAAACUUUCAACAACGGAUCUCUUGGUUCUGGCAUCGAUGAAGAACGCAGCGAAAUGCGAUAAGUAAUGUGAAUUGCAGAAUUCAGUGAAUCAUCGAAUCUUUGAACGCACAUUGCGCCCCUUGGUAUUCCGGGGGGCAUGCCUGUUCGAGCGUCAUUUCAACCCUCAAGCUCAGCUUGGUAUUGAGUCCAUGUCAGUAAUGGCAGGCUCUAAAAUCAGUGGCGGCGCCGCUGGGUCCUGAACGUAGUAAUAUCUCUCGUUACAGGUUCUCGGUGUGCUUCUGCCAAAACCCAAAUUUUCUAUGGUUGACCUCGGAUCAGGUAGGGAUACCCGCUGAACUUAAGCAUAUC